UACGUAGGGGGCUAGCGUUGUUCGGAAUCACUGGGCGUAAAGGGCGCGUAGGCGGCGCGACAAGUCAGGCGUGAAAGCCCCGGGCUCAACCCGGGAAUUGCGCUUGAUACUGUCGUGCUUGAGGCCGGGAGAGGAUGGCGGAAUUCCCAGUGUAGAGGUGAAAUUCGUAGAUAUUGGGAAGAACACCGGUGGCGAAGGCGGCCAUCUGGACCGGUUCUGACGCUGAGGCGCGAAAGCGUGGGGAGCAAACAGG
rnacentral:rRNA from 1 species